GUUACGGAUGUUACCUGCAAGUCGAACGGUGAACACGGAGCUUGCUCUGUGGGAUCAGUGGCGAACGGGUGAGUAACACGUGAGCAACCUGCCCCUGACUCUGGGAUAAGCGCUGGAAACGGCGUCUAAUACUGGAUACGAGUAGCGAUCGCAUGGUCAGCUACUGGAAAGAUUUUUUGGUUGGGGAUGGGCUCGCGGCCUAUCAGCUUGUUGGUGAGGUAAUGGCUCACCAAGGCGUCGACGGGUAGCCGGCCUGAGAGGGUGACCGGCCACACUGGGACUGAGACACGGCCCAGACUCCUACGGGAGGCAGCAGUGGGGAAUAUUGCACAAUGGGCGGAAGCCUGAUGCAGCAACGCCGCGUGAGGGAUGACGGCCUUCGGGUUGUAAACCUCUUUUAGCAGGGAAGAAGCGAAAGUGACGGUACCUGCAGAAAAAGCGCCGGCUAACUACGUGCCAGCAGCCGCGGUAAUACGUAGGGCGCAAGCGUUAUCCGGAAUUAUUGGGCGUAAAGAGCUCGUAGGCGGUUUGUCGCGUCUGCUGUGAAAUCCCGAGGCUCAACCUCGGGCCUGCAGUGGGUACGGGCAGACUAGAGUGCGGUAGGGGAGAUUGGAAUUCCUGGUGUAGCGGUGGAAUGCGCAGAUAUCAGGAGGAACACCGAUGGCGAAGGCAGAUCUCUGGGCCGUAACUGACGCUGAGGAGCGAAAGGGUGGGGAGCAAACAGGCUUAGAUACCCUGGUAGUCCACCCCGUAAACGUUGGGAACUAGUUGUGGGGUCCAUUCCACGGAUUCCGUGACGCAGCUAACGCAUUAAGUUCCCCGCCUGGGGAGUACGGCCGCAAGGCUAAAACUCAAAG
rnacentral:rRNA from 1 species